rnacentral:lncRNA from 1 species
UUCAUAUUUUCAAAUAACUUUUUGUAUUUGUUUGGUGCUUUACAACCCAGUAUCUAUGUUAGAUCCUUUUUAUCUAACUCUCUUAUAUAUUAGUUUCCCCCUAAUCUCUUAGAUCGGUCCUCCUUCUCUUCCUUCUUUUCUUUUUUACAUUCACUAUUAUUAUCUUUAGCCAUUUCCCUAUGAGAACAAUUCUAUAUUUAUCAGAACCUUUUUUAUUUUCUUUGCUCCUUUGAAAUUAUUCAUUUUUCUCAAUUUGGCCAGUCAGUAUCUGUAUUUGCAACUCAGUUUGGAUCCUGUGUUGCCCCACACUAUUGGAGGUCAAGGGGGUCUUCUAAAUAGCACACAUCUUGUCAUCCAAGUUCUGAGUACAUUAAAAAUAAGACAAAAACAAAAGUGUAAGGCAUAUGGGAACCCAAAUGUGAUAUUUGUUACCGACAGAGCUGAUACUUGAAAAAUUGCCUACUGGUGGACAAGUGGGCUUUCUAAUACCAGUCCCCAGAAUUAGAUAACUAUACAAACCACAUCACAGGCAGUUCUGGAUGAUAGCAAAAGCCCCCUGACAGUGGGUGGCAAUGUGCCCGGAUAGUACCAUAUGGAAGCAGCACAGCCCCAUUGAGAUCUGCCUCAAGCUGAAGAUGAAAAGGGGGCCUCUGGAGUCGCUUGAUCGAGCAGAGUCUGAUAGAGUUAUCAGGCUUUUGCAGAUAGAAUGCCUACCACCGUAGGAUACAUUGUCAUAAUCAGUGUUUAGGCAAAACACCUGGACUUCUGCAAGGACUUUGUUUCUUGGCCUAGAUAGAUUCUUAUUACUUCUUUCUACUGAUCUUUCUGAUAGUUUUAAUGGAGCCAUAACCCACUUGGCUAGAUUUUAAGCAUUAUCUGCCUUUCCAAAUGAGCUUAUAAUGUUAAGGACAGUCCCAGAACGCCCCAGAUCAAAAUACACCAAAGGAAAAGAAAAGAGACUUGGGGGGAUACUUUCACACUGCAAGAUGAUGACAUAUACCCCCGAUUAAUCAAAUUCUAGCUAAUCAUAAAUGCCAAGGUGAUUUGAACAAAUGAAUUGCUUCAGCAUACUGAAACUCUGAUUUAAAUUCUCAGGCCUCCAUAAUUUCAGAAUCAAUAAACACUUAUUAUUGUUUCCAUUUGUACUGCUGAAUAAAUCACUGUGUAAUUUUACCUCUUAAUUCUUAAAGGUGUAAUAUAAAAAUAUUGAUUUUAAUAGUUUUUGUGCUAUUAAAAGGGUAUGUAAUUCAUACAUACACAACUCUUUGGCAUGGUGCCUAAGGCAGUGAAAUUGUUGCUGCAAAUAAUAUGUAAAAACCUUUUAUUAAAAAUAUUUUAUUAAGGCAUAACCAUCAUAAAGAAAUGUGUACAAAUUAUAAGUUUACAACUUGCUGGGUUUUUGCAAAGUGAAUACACCUGUAUAGUCAGUCUCUGGACUAAGAAAUAGAAUAUACCAGCACCCUAGGCACUAGCACCUGAAAAAAGAUAACCACAAUCUGACUUCUAACAUCACUAAUUAGUUUUGCAUAGUAUUGAACUUUAC